AGAGUUUGAUCAUGGCUCAGGAUGAACGCUAGCUACAGGCUUAACACAUGCAAGUCGAGGGGAAACGACAUCGAAAGCUUGCUUUUGAUGGGCGUCGACCGGCGCACGGGUGAGUAACGCGUAUCCAACCUGCCCACCACUUGGGGAUAACCUUGCGAAAGUAAGACUAAUACCCAAUGACGUCUCUAGAAGACAUCUGAAAGAGAUUAAAGAUUUAUCGGUGAUGGAUGGGGAUGCGUCUGAUUAGCUUGUUGGCGGGGUAAACGGCCGCCAAAGGCUACGAUCAGUAGGGGUUCUGAGAGGAAGGUCCCCCCANAUUGGAACUGAGACACGGUCCAAAACUCCUACGGGAGGCA
rnacentral:rRNA from 1 species